AGGCAAGUACGGUAAUGGGCGGGGCCGAGCGCGGGCGCGCUCCGGCUUUCCUUCUGCGCAGCGCUCCCGUCAGCGCAGGGGGCGGGGCGCCUAUAUUACGUGCGCGGCGCCGCCCCUGCGAGAGGACGUUGCGUGCUCGCUCGCGCCAGGCGAGUCUCCGCGUCUCCCUCGCGAACUCGGUGAAAGGAAUUGGCGCCGUUCGACACCAGGCGGAUCCGCUCUGCAGCACGACCCCAUCUCCAGCCGCAGCCGCAGCCGCCGCCCGGGCCGAGGAGCAGCCGCAGCAGCCGCCACCAGUGGCCGAGUGAGCGGAGCCGAGUUUGAGGCAGCGCCUAGCGGUGAAUCGGGGCCCUCACCAUGAGUUCCUCGCCUGUUAAUGUAAAAAAGCUGAAGGUGUCGGAGCUGAAAGAGGAGCUCAAGAAGCGACGCCUUUCUGACAAGGGUCUCAAGGCCGAGCUCAUGGAGCGACUCCAGGCCGCGCUGGACGACGAGGAGGCCGGGGGCCGCCCCGCCAUGGAGCCCGGGAACGGCAGCCUAGACCUGGGCGGGGAUUCCGCCGGGCGCUCGGGAGCAGGCCUCGAGCAGGAGGCCGCGGUCGGCGGCGAUGAAGAGGAGGAGGAAGAGGAAGAGGAGGAGGAAGGAAUCUCCGCCCUGGACGGCGACCAGAUGGAGCUAGGAGAGGAGAACGGGGCCGCGGGGGCGGCCGACUCGGGCCCGAUGGAGGAGGAGGAGGCCGCCUCGGAAGACGAGAACGGCGACGAUCAGGGUUUCCAGGAAGGGGAAGAUGAGCUCGGGGACGAAGAGGAAGGCGCGGGCGACGAGAACGGGCACGGGGAGCAGCAGCCUCAACCGCCGGCGACGCAGCAGCAACAGACCCAACAGCAGCGCGGGGCCGCCAAGGAGGCCGCGGGGAAGAGCAGCGGCCCCACCUCGCUGUUCGCGGUGACGGUGGCGCCGCCCGGGGCGAGGCAGGGCCAGCAGCAGGCGGGAGGUAAGAAGAAGGCGGAAGGCGGCGGAGGCGGCGGUCGCCCCGGGGCUCCGGCGGCGGGGGACGGCAAAACAGAACAGAAAGGCGGAGAUAAAAAGAGGGGUGUUAAAAGACCACGAGAAGAUCAUGGCCGUGGAUAUUUUGAGUACAUUGAAGAGAACAAGUAUAGCAGAGCCAAAUCUCCUCAGCCACCUGUUGAAGAAGAAGAUGAACACUUCGAUGACACAGUGGUUUGUCUUGAUACUUAUAAUUGUGAUCUACAUUUUAAAAUAUCAAGAGAUCGUCUCAGUGCUUCUUCCCUUACAAUGGAAAGUUUCGCUUUUCUUUGGGCUGGAGGAAGAGCAUCUUAUGGUGUGUCAAAAGGCAAAGUGUGUUUUGAGAUGAAGGUUACAGAGAAGAUCCCAGUAAGGCAUUUAUAUACAAAAGAUAUUGACAUACAUGAAGUUCGUAUUGGCUGGUCACUAACUACAAGUGGAAUGUUACUUGGUGAAGAAGAAUUUUCUUACGGGUAUUCUCUAAAAGGAAUAAAAACAUGCAACUGUGAGACUGAAGAUUAUGGAGAAAAGUUUGAUGAAAAUGAUGUGAUUACAUGUUUUGCUAACUUUGAAAGUGAUGAAGUAGAACUCUCCUAUGCUAAGAAUGGACAAGAUCUUGGCAUUGCUUUCAAAAUCAGUAAGGAAGUUCUUGCUGGACGGCCACUCUUCCCGCAUGUUCUCUGCCACAACUGUGCAGUUGAAUUUAAUUUUGGUCAGAAGGAAAAGCCAUAUUUUCCAAUACCUGAAGAGUAUACUUUUAUCCAGAAUGUCCCCUUAGAGGAUCGAGUUAGAGGACCAAAGGGGCCUGAAGAGAAGAAAGAUUGUGAAGUUGUGAUGAUGAUUGGCUUGCCUGGAGCUGGAAAAACUACCUGGGUUACUAAGCAUGCAGCGGAAAAUCCAGGGAAAUACAACAUUCUUGGCACAAAUACUAUUAUGGAUAAAAUGAUGGUGGCAGGUUUUAAGAAGCAAAUGGCAGAUACUGGAAAGCUGAACACACUGUUGCAGAGAGCCCCACAGUGUCUGGGGAAAUUUAUUGAGAUUGCUGCCCGAAAGAAGCGAAAUUUUAUUCUGGAUCAGACAAAUGUGUCUGCUGCUGCCCAGAGGAGAAAAAUGUGCCUGUUCGCAGGCUUCCAGCGAAAAGCUGUUGUAGUGUGCCCAAAAGAUGAAGACUAUAAGCAAAGAACACAGAAGAAAGCAGAAGUAGAGGGGAAAGACCUACCAGAACAUGCGGUCCUCAAAAUGAAAGGAAACUUUACCCUCCCAGAGGUAGCUGAGUGCUUUGAUGAAAUAACCUAUGUUGAACUUCAGAAGGAAGAAGCCCAAAAACUUUUGGAGCAAUAUAAGGAAGAAAGCAAAAAGGCUCUUCCACCAGAAAAGAAACAGAACACUGGCUCAAAGAAAAGCAAUAAAAAUAAGAGUGGCAAGAACCAGUUUAACAGAGGUGGUGGCCAUAGAGGACGUGGAGGAUUCAAUAUGCGUGGUGGAAAUUUCAGAGGAGGAGCCCCUGGGAAUCGUGGCGGAUAUAAUAGGAGGGGCAACAUGCCACAGAGAGGUGGUGGUGGCGGUGGAAGUGGUGGAAUCGGCUAUCCAUACCCUCGUGCCCCUGUUUUUCCUGGCCGUGGUAGUUAUUCAAACAGAGGGAACUACAACAGAGGUGGAAUGCCCAACAGAGGGAACUACAACCAGAACUUCAGAGGACGAGGAAACAAUCGUGGCUACAAAAAUCAAUCUCAGGGCUACAACCAGUGGCAGCAGGGUUCUGUCCAUGUGAAUGUGCUGUGUGGAAGAGUUAAAGGGUCCAACUAAAUGUUCCAGUGAUUCCAAUAGGUAUUCCAAAUUAAUUGCUGCUUGUACAUUUCAUAGUUACGUUAGGCUUCCAGAAUCACUUUAAAUAGGGCUCUAUUUUUAAAAGAUGGGGGAAGAGAGUAAUUGGUAACCAGAUGGACAGACUCUCUACAACAGAAGAAAAAGGGUAUUUUCUCUUGCAUAUCUGAGGUGAAGUGUGUAUUCUGUGUGUUCUUAGCAAUUGGCAGUCCUCUUGCUUAGGUUUACAGGUGUAUGUGCAAAUAGACCUGAGUCCUUUCAAAGUUAGAUCAUUUUUCUGAUGUCAUCUAUUAAACUUUUGGCAAUACAUUUGUUUUGAUCUCCACCCUACUUGGUAGAGUGUAAGUACUUUCUUACAACGUUCUAAUGUCAAACAGUGCAUAGGAGACCUUUUUGUCCUUGGUUGCCCAAAAUCUUUUUCAUUUCUAUUAAAUUCACAAAUACUUAUUUUUACUAGCUUAUGAAAAUUUGGAAAAUAGCUUGACAUCCUUUUGGAUAAUGAAGUGAUUAGUUCAUAUAUUGAAGUAUAUAAAAUCAACUAGGAAGUAAAUUCAAGACUGAAGGACUGGGAGGGUUUGUGUGAGCUUUGGUUGUAUCAGUCCAGGACAUGUAAUUUUCCAUUUCCCUGAAAAAGACUUUAGAGGAAUUUAUUUUCCCCACUAUACACUCCAGAAUGUCUUUAGGUGAACUAAGAGGGCUUGGGCUGUAUUCUGAUUCCAGAUGUAGCUAUCAGAGUUUGCUUAAUGAAAUAUGGGUCUACUCACAAAUAAAGCAAUUUAAUGGUUUCUGAAGAGUAGGCAACUUACGGUUUCAUAACCAUUUCUGUUCAUUUGAGAAAAAUCAUAAAACUACAGAAAAGGGAAACAUUCAUUUCAAAAAUAAGCUUUGAAUUUAGAUGGUAAGGCAUAUGUUUUAUUUCACAUGACUUCAGGGUAUCGGUGAAGAAACAUUUUUAUGGAAACUUAAACCUUAAGAAGCCAGUAUAUGCAAAGAAUGAUUACUUUGAUAUCCCCUGAGGGUGUGCCAUAUAAUAGGUGACUGAUAACAUACAGGAUUUAAUUCUUAGAAGAAUUAAGAACGGAUACCACCCAUUACAUUGACCUACCUUUUAAAGUGAACAAUAGAAACCUCUCUCAGAAUUAGUAUUUGCUUAUUAUCAACAUAAAAAUACUUAAAUGUCCUUAUUCUAGAACAUGGAAGCAUAGGGCAAAUGCAAUGGUUGAAAGCACUGAAAAAUAUUUGUAAAACAUUUGUAGUGCUCACAUUAUGGACUUUAAUACUUUGAAAAAACUACCUUCAUAAUUUUUUUGUUCUAACAGCUUCCUUUUUAAGAAAACAUUUUAAAACAUUUUAAAAUGGAACUUAAUGUGCAAAAUAAGUUGUGUAAAAUACCAGUAUUUUGGGUGGUAGAGGAUAUUGGUAUAUUGACCUGGGUUGAUGACAACUGGAGUAUUUUAAGAUAACUACUUCCAAAAAUUAUUUUAUUCUAGAGGACCACUAAAAAUCAGAAUUACAGCAAUCAUUUUAAUUUUUCUACUUUCCUUGUUAAGAUCUGCUUACCCAAAGAAUAGUGUAUAUCUUAACAUGACUUUUAAAGGGGUGUCUUGAUCCCCAUCACAGAUUUUUAUCUAGGAAUAGAAGGAUUGAAACCCUAUUUGAUCCCUAGCUCUUUGCUGAAAAGUGCAUAAACAGGAAUCCUGAAUUUAUUAUAUAGACCUCCUCGCAUUAUAUAAUCGAAGCAAAGGGAAACCAGCGAUGGAGUAGAGGUACGUAGACUAAAGAGAUGCUUGCAAAUCAAAUGAUGGUACCUAGGGAUAGUCACAUUUUCUUGUUGCCAAACUCAGUCAAUAUAAAUCACAAGUCCAGAGAAGAGCUAGUUAAUUUUAAAUUCCCUGAGGUCCUUUUACUGAGAUGGAAAAGCACAAGCAGUCAAGGAAAACCAAAGAGGGAGGGGCGAGGGAAGGGGAAAGUGCAUAAAGCACUUAAAAGAUUUUUUAAAAGUAGGUAUGAUAGAUAAGCCACAAGAAGUUUGUAAGACUACUAAUAACCAUAAUUCUAUUUUAAUCAGCUAUUUAGCUGGUACCUACUGCUAUAUCACCUAGUGUGACAUUUCGGAAUUAAUGGAACAAUGAAAGAAGCUGUACGCUGGAGGUUCCAGGUGCUCAUGGAAGGUUUCCAGUUUAUGCAAACUUUUGUGAAAAUGAGCUAACCUUGUUAUUGGUGAAGACAUUGGAAAUUUUACCAGCCAAGAGAGAGCUUCUCUCUUACUCAGGGUAAGAUGUAAUUGCAGUGUGCUAGUGCUGGAAGGGACCUGUUUUACAUGUUACGUAUGUUACACGUCAGCCCUCCAUGUCCUCCAGUUCUGCAUCCUUGGAUUCAACCAACCGUGGGUUGAAAAUACUGGAGGUAAAGACAAAAAAUAACAAUGAAACAACAACAACAGAAAAAGGAAAAUAAUAACUAUAUUUACAGGGCAUUUAUUUUAUAUUAGGCAUUGUAAGUAAUUAGAGAUGACUUAAAGUAUAUGGGAAAAUGUAUGUAGAUUAUAUGCAAAUAUGAGGGCAUUUUAUUUCAAGGGACUUGGGCCUGUGGAUACCAAGGGAUAACUAAGCAUAAGUGGCCUGUCCACAGUUAUCAGAUUAUUGAUUAGUGAUCAUCAGUAUUUUCCCACAUUCAUACAGUGCUGCCUCUGAAAACAUGGUUGAAUAUUCUAUGGAUUAUUAUUUUUUUUAAUUCGAGAGUCUGUGUCACCUAGGCUAGAGUGCAGUGGCGCAAUCUCGGCUCACAGCAACCUCCGCCCUUCCCACCUCGGGUUCAAGUGAUUCUCCUGCCUCAGCCUCCUGAGUACCUGGGACCACAGGCAUGCACCACAAUGACUGGCUAAUUUUUGUAUUUUUAGACGAGACAGGGUUUCACCAUGUUGGCUAAGCUGGUCUUGAACUCCUGACCUCAGGUGAUCUGCCUGCCUCGGCCUCCCGAAGUGCUGGGAUUACAGGUGUGAGCCACUGCGCCCGGCAGAAUUUUUUAACAAUUAUUUGGUUAUAACUAAUUUGGAUAAUGUAGACUGUAUGCAGCUUUGAUUUGUGCCACUAAGAGUGGGCAAACUGUCUUUUUGUGAAAUCAGUAAAAAUUUUCCCUCAACAUGUGUUUGACAGUGUCAUUCACUGCUAAGUUAAGGCAUUUGGUAAACCACACAGCCUCUGCAUCAUAACCUUCCUAGCGACAGCCACAAGAAAAGGCAGGCAUGGGAGGGAAAAUGUUCUUGUGAAUUGAACUGGAGCAAGCUCCAUUUUUCUUUAGAAAAAGAUGUAGAUCAAAA